CGUCUUAGUUACCACUUAACUACUACAAGUAUCCCACGAGGCGUGGUGGAACAUACUAUCUAUUAGUUACCACAACAUAACAUAACCGUUAAGUUCGCUUUAACCGUGUACUUUACGGACAUGCUUGGUUUGUACCUAAGCACGAGUGCUUAAUACGAGAGGACCACAUUGGCCGAUGGUCUUUGUCCGGUUGACGGAACGUAUUAACGUUUAAAAUAUACGAAAAUGGAUCGCAAACUAAUCACCAAAGAGUACUAAUUUUCAUAUUUCCCUUCUUUCACUACCAAGUGAACUUAGCAUGAUGACGGAAAACAAACAAAAAGAAAAGCAAAGAAAGGAAAGAGGAGAACAACUUCAUCAUCAUGGUUCAUGGCUAGGAGGAGGAGCCCAGAGAGAGAGAGACACAAGUAAGUAAGGAGAAAGCAGACACUGGUUGAAAAGAGAGGCACCCGGAAACCGGGAAAGGGACAAAGCAAAUCCUGCUUUCGACCAAACUAGCAGGCCUGAGAGCAGUUGAGAACUCGGGACGUAUAUCUGUAUCACUAGCAGAAGAAGGAAAGAAUAGUCCUAUGAGCGAGACGAAGGAAGAGAUAAAAAGGUCAGAAAUGGAGACAUGGUAGAAGAAGAAGGAGCCCGACAAGAACCACCGUCUUUAUCCCCUCUCUCUAUCUAUAUCUCCCUUAUUUAUGAGACAGAAUACCCGUUGACGACCAAAGCCCCCUCAAGGAUGUAAUUGUCCCAGAGGUGACGUUUCAGUCUCUGAGGGUUCUAGGUCUCGGGUAGCCUCUCCCUGGCCUCGCUACUCUCGUCCGACGGCAGCUUGCGCUCCCUCCACCUCCGGUACGUCGAGCUGAGCCGCCGCGCCUUGGGCGACUGGCGGAAGAGAAAGCUCCUCGAGGCCUUCCACUGGUUGCCCAAGGCCGUCCUGAGCGAUUAGCCGCCGCCGCCGAAGCCGUCCCACAUGUUCCCGCGGCACCAUACCUGCCGCCGCCUCUGCUCGGGGACGUCCAGCGGCAGUUCCACGUGCUACCCCUAUUGUCGAAGGUCCCGGUGUCCCUCACCGACCACCUCAACUAGAAGAACCCGGUGGACAGCGUGGGUUUGGACCACUUCGAUCGCCCGAUGACGACACUCCCGCUCGUGGCCCACGACCAGAUGCUCAUGUACGGCGAGCCAUCGCACCUCAGUGUGGAGAAGAGUGCCCACUACCGCGGGGACCGCACCCGCUGCUCCUACUUCUAGUGCGACCCGCACCACUCCCCGGACCGAAAGGAGGUACUCCGGCUCUUCGGGCAGUAGAUGGCGCUAAAGUUCUGGAGGUUGUAGGAGGAGCUGGUACUGAAGUUGCGGUUCGAGAGGCUGAAGCCGGAGCGGUUCCUACCGGGGCAGCCGCUGUAUAGGGUGCAGAGGUGGGCGUAGUACCCGUGGAUGCCAAUGCGGCGGGGUCUCAUGUAGUACUGUCCCGUGGACUGCCGCUACUCGCUGCACAUGUCGAUGCCCCACCACGACAACCUCGACCAAUGCCCCGCGUUCAGUGACCUGUUCACAACCGGCUACGCCCUCGUCUGCGACCGCCUGACCCGCAACGGCUACGACUACGUGUUCUUCAUCCACAACCCCUAGGAUCUGGGUUCCGAGCCGAGGCUGCUGAUGGGGCAGUCCAGGCACGUCUUCCGCCGGUACGAGCGCAUGGUGACGGAGUCGUCGUUGGGGUUCCGCGCCGGCGAGUACGCGCUGUAGCAGCGGAGGGAGCUCGGCGACGUCGUUGACCUCGAGCACGGGCGGUUGAACACUAGGAGUAAAGUUCAAAAUCAGGUCCGGAACGACCACAACAGUCUAGGUAGCGGAGAUGAAGUCGAGUAUCUUCGUCUGAUCUUAAGUACACUUUUUUUAACACACACUAACGGAUCAUAUCGUCCGUCCGUCCACUUCACAAGAACUACGAUAUUUACUAACAUGUAAGAAGG
rnacentral:rRNA from 1 species